rnacentral:rRNA from 1 species
UCCAGGACGAACGCUGGCGGCGCGCCUAACACAUGCAAGUCGAGCGGAGUUUGCUGACGGAAGCUUUCGGGUGGAAGAUAGUAAACUUAGCGGCGGACGGGUGAGUAACACGUGAGCAACCUGCCUCUCAGAGGGGGAUAACGUUUGGAAACGAACGCUAAUACCGCAUAACACCGAGACGUCACAUGGCGAUUCGGUCAAAGGAGCAAUCCGCUGAGAGAUGGGCUCGCGUCCGAUUAGAUAGUUGGCGGGGUAACGGCCCACCAAGUCGACGAUCGGUAGCCGGACUGAGAGGUUGAUCGGCCACAUUGGGACUGAGACACGGCCCAGACUCCUACGGGAGGCAGCAGUGGGGGAUAUUGCACAAUGGAGGAAACUCUGAUGCAGCGACGCCGCGUGAGGGAAGACGGUUUUCGGAUUGUAAACCUCUGUCUUCAGGGACGAAAUGAAUGACGGUACCUGAGGAGGAAGCUCCGGCUAACUACGUGCC